rnacentral:rRNA from 1 species
GUGGUAAUGCCGGAUGCUCCGGUUGGAUGCAUGUCCUUCCGGGAAAGAUUCCAUCGGUAUGGGAUGGGGUCGCGUCCUAUCAGCUUGAUGGCGGGGUAACGGCCCACCAUGGCUUCGACGGGUAGCCGGCCUGAGAGGGCGACCGGCCACAUUGGGACUGAGAUACGGCCCAGACUCCUACGGGAGGCAGCAGUGGGGAAUAUUGCACAAUGGGCGCAAGCCUGAUGCAGCGACGCCGCGUGCGGGAUGAAGGCCUUCGGGUUGUAAACCGCUUUUGAUCGGGAGCAAGCCCUUCGGGGUGAGUGUACCCUUCGAAUAAGCACCGGCUAACUACGUGCCAGCAGCCGCGGUAAUACGUAGGGUGCAAGCGUUAUCCGGAAUUAUUGGGCGUAAAGGGCUCGUAGGCGGUUCGUCGCGUCCGGUGUGAAAGCCCAUCGCUUAACGGUGGGUCUGCGCCGGGUACGGGCGGGCUGGAGUGCGGUAGGGGAGACUGGAAUUCCCGGUGUAACGGUGGAAUGUGUAGAUAUCGG